UGGCUGCGUGCUUAACACAUGCAAGUCGAACGCUGAAGCCGACAGCUUGCUGUUGGUGGAUGAGUGGCGAACGGGUGAGUAACACGUGAGUAACCUGCCCCUGAUUUCGGGAUAAGCCUGGGAAACUGGGUCUAAUACCGGAUACGACCACCUGACGCAUGUUGGGUGGUGGAAAGUUUUUCGAUCGGGGAUGGGCUCGCGGCCUAUCAGCUUGUUGGUGGGGUAAUGGCCUACCAAGGCGACGACGGGUAGCCGGCCUGAGAGGGCGACCGGCCACACUGGGACUGAGACACGGCCCAGACUCCUACGGGAGGCAGCAGUGGGGAAUAUUGCACAAUGGGGGAAACCCUGAUGCAGCGACGCAGCGUGCGGGAUGACGGCCUUCGGGUUGUAAACCGCUUUCAGCAGGGAAGAAGCGAAAGUGACGGUACCUGCAGAAGAAGUACCGGCAAUUAUU
rnacentral:rRNA from 1 species